CAAUGGUGAGGUUAUGAAAUGGAUAGAGUUUGCAGAGAAUUUUUCAGUAGAUUCUGAGGCUUGUUUAUCUCUCAACGAGUUAAAUGGAUGCUUGGCUUCAAAGUCUGUUCUUGUGGGGGAGGGGCUGACACCCUCUGAAGCUGAUAUUAUUGUCUUCUCAGCACUUUAUUCCUAUGUGUUAGGGGACCGGUGAAUGUUAUAUUGUCAUUCAGCUCUACAUUUCUUCUACUUUGCUCAAAAUCAAAUUUUGUACAAAGAUAUGUGCCUUUUCUUUCUUUUAUACUUCUAAGUUGAAAAAAAGGGAUGCCUUAGUGAAUGAACAAUGAAACCUUUUAAAGGCUGAGGGACAUAAAUAGGAAAAAGACAUUGUCUGUGUUUGGUUAGACUUUCAAAGUGUGAUUCCACCCUUUGGUUUUAGUAUGGUGUUUGUUUACUGUUUUCAAAAAUUGAUUCCAUACUCACUUUUCAAAACACGUCUACCCAGUCAUCCUCCUGGACGUCCCCAGACGUUCGGGCGGUUGACCGGAACAGUGUUCGGGUUUUUUUUUUUUUUGGACCUGUUAUUUUUAUAUUUUAAAUAAAAAAUAUUUUGGAAAUUUUUAAAUUUUUUUUAUGAGCUUUGAAUAGA